rnacentral:lncRNA from 1 species
UUUUUAUUUUCUUGAGUUCUAAACGACAAGGACAGAGGAGGAAGGAUAAAUCUAAGGUUUUUACAUCUCUAAUUCCAACCCAUUUCAUUUGAGCAAAUCCAUCUUAAAGUAGAGGCAGCACAAGAGACGAGGGUAUCUUCUUUGUAAGAGGGGUCUACUAGUAUUGUCUACGGGUAUUGUUUACUAGUAUUGAGCUGCUUCUGAAUUAACUCCUUGCAAUCAGAGUCACUGAUUAGGAAACUGCAACUGCCCAGUGAUUAGAAUUUCAGGUGCACCAAGUUAAAAACCUCUUAUAAACCCAGUGCAGGGUCACACGAUUGUUUCUCAGGUGAAGGGGCCACCACAGCUCCGGACAGAAGGCAACCAUUGGAGAGCAGGGAGGGGAUGGAGUGUAUGUGAGGGGAGUGUGACGAGGGGUUUCAUUUGUCACUCUCUGAGUCUGUCUGAAGACCUCCCCACAUAGGGCCUACAACCAUUUCUACAGCCCGGGCCUAAGAGCAGGUGCCUCACAGGCUUUUUCUGAUUGCUCUGUUCUUGUUAACACAGGGCACAGCUGUGUGGUCCCCACUCUCUGUAAAACUAAAACCACCAUCUCCCAAGGCUUCAGCCAGAAGAGUGAGCUAACAAUGCACAGACCAAAAGAAAACUGGACUUGGAAAAACUAGGUCUGUUUUAAUGUCUUGUCCACUUGGAUUAUUUAGUUCUCCUUGGCACUGAAUAUUUUGCAAAUGCCACUGCCACAGCUACUGGAGGGGAGAUAAAAAUCACGCCAGAGCCAGAGUGGUCCAGAACAGCAGCACUCCCCAGAAGGCUCCAGAGCAGAGGCCUCAGGAACUGAAAUGAAGGCAACAGUGUCCAGGGGCAGAGAGACCUCGGGAGCACAGAUUCCCGGAUUCCACUCCCCAGGCUAAGCCUUGAAGCUUUGAGACUGGUCCUUGGUUAAGGGAUGAGACAUUAUUCGCGUUGUGAUAGGAUGGCAUUUUUGUGUUCUAGCUUCACACAAGGCAAGGAUGCAAUCUGAAGCACACUUUCCAAUGUCAGGAAAUGAUUAAAAAACCAAAAACCAACCACCUCCACUCCACAAUCAGCUUUCCAAAUGGCUGUUUCUCAUGCACCCAAUAUCCAAGUUCCGAGUCAGAGGGUGGCCUAGGACCACUGCUUCCCACCCCCACCCCACUUUUAAGAUGAUGCAAUUAAGGAAUUUUGUAGCCGAAGAAGGUGAAGACCAAAGGCAUAAAGGAGAAGCAGCUUUGCUCUGCCCCUUCUGUUGGUGUGGAGCAUCACUUGCCUGGAUCAAACCAUAAAGAAGUGGAGGAUGGCAAGAACAGCUCAUGGUGACCCUCCAGCACACAUCCUUCCUUUUUUUUUUUAAGUGUAUUCUUUUUUUUUUCCUCUGGGAAUGGUUCUCUCUUUUUUUUUC